AAAUGACUCUCGGCAAUGGAUAUCUCGGCUCUUGCAUCGAUGAAGAACGUAGUGAAAUGCGAUACUUGGUGUGAAUUGCAGAAUCUCGUGAACCAUUGAGUCUUUGAACGCAAGUUGUGCCCGAGGCCUUGUGGCCGAGGGCACGCCUGCUUGGGCGUCAUGA
rnacentral:rRNA from 1 species